UGGGCAACAAGAGCGAAACUCCAUCUCAAAAAAAAAAAAAGAAAAGAAAAAAGAAGAGAGAGAUUCUACAGAGACAUAUUGGAGCUCGCUCAAAUGUGAGCCACCAGAUAAGGGCUGCUGGAAGGAGGCGAAGAAAGAUGACUCAGAACAUGACAUCUGUCUUCAUGUGAAAGAAUGGGUAGAACUGAUGUGGCACUACGAAUUAUCUGUAGGGCAAAGGACUGGAAGUUAAUUGAAGAUAGAUUUUAAUUCAAAACAAGGAUCAGUUCUUUAAGAGUCUGAAGAAGGGUUAUUUUAGGAAGUAGCUGCCUCUGCCCCCUUCCCACCUGUUGCAGUGGAUCAAAUAUACACUGAAUCACUACCUCAUUCAUUCAACACUCAUUUCAUGAAGGCUUAACGCAUUGCUGUGGGGCUUACUCUGCCGCCGACCUGGGGCCUAGCUAGGCUUUGUAGUCUAUAUAGUCUCAUAGUCCUGCAAACUGGCUCCAGCCCAGGAAAUCACCCUGUGUAGGAGUGGCUGCAGUCAAGACGCAGGAAGACAAUCCUGAGGGGACCUGACAUCCAGCAUCUGAGUUCAGACUACUAUAGUUUGAAUAAGUGACCUGCAGAUUCAUUACACACAAGGGAACAUGUCUUCCUUUUGUUGGAUUGAACUCUGUGAUACCAAGCAGUCAAAACUACCUGUCAGAUGUCCAAUCCCUGAUCCAGAAUUUCAAGGAGCUGUGGAGGCAGCUGUACAAUGGGAGUGUCAUAAACCAGAGAACUUUGUGUCCAGGCUAUGUCUAUUAGGUGAGUAUAUGGUGAGAAGGCAGCUGUCUGUGAACCAGAAGGAGGGCCCUCACCAAGAAGUGACCAUGCUGGCACCCUGAUCUUGGACUUCUGGCAUCUGGAACUAUCUAGCUAGUUUAAAGAUGAAAACUGCAGCAGAUGAGAAAGAAAAAUACAACUGGAAAACUUGGAUGAAUUAGAAACACUAAACAGUUUUCAGGAAAGCUGAGUAUCAGAGAAAAACAGAUGCUGGAGGAAAAGAAAAAAAGAGGACACAAAAACUGUCCUGGCCAAAGGGGUCAUGACCACACAUUAUCCUUGGAUGAGGGCUUCCUUUAUGGUGACAAUUGAACAGAAGCAUUUAGAGCAGAUUACAAUGCAUAUUAUACGUACAAUGAAAUCAUUGAAACAGAAAAAAGAGCCAAAAUUGAUGUCUUUGCCUUAAAUCUUGCUUCUUUCUAGUUUAUUCUCUCCACAGUGGUCGGGGCAGUCUGAGAGAAUACGGUGGAAUCGAUGGUAUGCGACUUCCAAGAAAGUUUGCUUGCUUUCAAGCCUGGAACGCCUGGGACCUUCAGUGAACCUCUUCCUCAGAUACAUGCCUGCGUAGUGUCAACUUGCUCUAUUGCUGGGAAGUGCUUGGCUGAUUAUCUUCUUCCUGCCCUGGGAGAUGUCUCACUAAUCAUUCAUUCAUUCAGCAAACAUUACAACGUUCCAGGCACUGUGCUAACUACUGAAUAUUCAGUGAUAUAGGAUAAAAUCUCUGUCCUAAAGUUGCUUGCAGUCAGAUGGGAGAAAAGCAAGUAAAUACAACAAUUUGUGAGCUUUAAAAAAGACCUAUAACAUCUUGUGAAGGAGGGGCAGAACUUAUCAUCCUCAACUAACAUAGAGAAAAUUGUCUCAUAGAGCAGGAGCUGAUAGCCCUUGGCUUUCUGGAUGGAGGAGACAGCAAUGGAGUGGAGGGAUUUCUCAGGAAUCUCCCCCAGGGGCUGCUCUAC
rnacentral:lncRNA from 1 species